GUCCAGGGAUGGGAAUCGAACCCACAAUGUUCCGCUUACCUGGCAGAUGUCAUGUCCACUAGGCUACCCUGGA
rnacentral:tRNA from 1 species